rnacentral:rRNA from 1 species
UGAGUGGCGGACGGGUGAGUAACACGUGGGGAACCUGCCCAUAAGAGGGGGAUAACAUCCGGAAACGGGUGCUAAUACCGCAUAGGUGAUCAUAGCGCAUGCUUAGAUCAUUAAAGAUGGCUUCGGCUAUCGCUUAUGGAUGGCCCCGCGGCGUAUUAGCUAGUUGGUAAGGUAAUGGCUUACCAAGGCUGUGAUACGUAGCCGACCUGAGAGGGUGAUCGGCCACACUGGGACUGAGACACGGCCCAGACUCCUACGGGAGGCAGCAGUAGGGAAUCUUCCACAAUGGGCGAAAGCCUGAUGGAGCAAUACCGCGUGAGUGAAGAAGGUCUUCGGAUCGUAAAGCUCUGUUAUCGGAGAAGAACACGGAGUGCAGUAACUGGCAUUCCGCUGACGGUAUCCGAUCAGAAAGUCACGGCUAACUACGUGCCAGCAGCCGCGGUAAUACGUAGGUGACAAGCGUUGUCCGGAUUUAUUGGGCGUAAAGCGAGCGCAGGCGGUCUUUUAAGUCUGAUGUGAAAGCCCACGGCUCAACCGUGGAGGGUCAUUGGAAACUGGAAGACUUGAAUGCAGAAGAGGAAAGUGGAAUUCCAUGUGUAGCGGUGAAAUGCGUAGAUAUAUGGAGGAACACCAGUGGCGAAGGCGACUUUCUGGUCUGUAAUUGACGCUGAGGCUCGAAAGCGUGGGGAGCGAACAGGAUUAGAUACCCUGGUAGUCCACGCCGUAAACGAUGAGUGCUAAGUGUUGGAGGGUUCCGCCCUUCAGUGCUGGAGCUAACGCAUUAAGCACUCCGCCUGGGGAGUACGGCCCCAAGGCUGAACUCAAAGAAUUGACGGGGACCCCACAACCGUGGAACAUGUGGUUUAUUCGAAGCACGCGAAAACCUUACAGAUCUUGACUUCUCUGACACCCAGGAACUGGGCGUUCCUUCGGG